UACAGAGGUCCCAAGCGUUGUUCGGAUUCACUGGGCGUAAAGGGUGCGUAGGUGGCCAGGUAAGUUCGGUGUGAAAGCUCGGAGCUUAACUCCGAAAUGGCAUUGAAUACUAUCUGGCUAGAGGGUCGGAGGGGAGACUGGAAUUCUCGGUGUAGCAGUGAAAUGCGUAGAUAUCGAGAGGAACACCAGUGGCGAAGGCGGGUCUCUGGACAGUUCCUGACGCUGAGGCACGAAGGCCAGGGGAGCAAACGGG
rnacentral:rRNA from 1 species